rnacentral:rRNA from 1 species
GACGAACGCUGGCGGCGUGCUUAACACAUGCAAGUCGAACGGAAAGGCCCUGCUUUUGUGGGGUGCUCGAGUGGCGAACAGGUGAGUAACACGUGAGUAACCUGCCCUUGACUUUGGGAUAACCUCAGGAAACUGGGGCUAAUACCGGAUAGGAGCUCCUGCUGCAUGGUGGGGGUUGGAAAGUUUCGGCGGUUGGGGAUGGACUCGCGGCUUAUCAGCUUGUUGGUGGGGUAGUGGCUUACCAAGGCUUUGACGGGUAGCCGGCCUGAGAGGGUGACCGGCCACAUUGGGACUGAGAUACGGCCCAGACUCCUACGGGAGGCAGCAGUGGGGAAUAUUGCACAAUGGGCGGAAGCCUGAUGCAGCAACGCCGCGUGCGGGAUGACGGCCUUCGGGUUGUAAACCGCUUUCGCCUGUGACGAAGCGUGAGUGACGGUAAUGGGUAAAGAAGCACCGGCUAACUACGUG